GUGUGUUACAUAUUAUAUUAUAUACAUACACGCGCACACAUGCAGUAUAUAUCGAGCGCCUUCGGACGUACGAGAGAAGCAGAUCCCAGAAGCCAGCACUGUUGCCAAAUCUUCAGAUAUUUCUGGACAAGUAUACAGUUUUCAGAUGAUUCUAGAAAAUCAAUUUCCUCAUAGAAAUCAAUACUAAGCAUCCAAAUGAAAUAAAAUAUGUUGAUAAGGGAAAUCUAAGUUUCCUUUAGCAUUCCUUGUCUAACUGUUGAAAAUUGCAAAUGAACAUUACGAAAUGAAAAACAGAAAAGCCGAAAUUCACACGAGGAAGUUGUAAAGAAAAGGGAGUAAAUCUUGCUCUCCGUGCCACGUGCUUCUGUUUUUCCUAGUGUUAGGAAAUGCUUUUAGCGUAAAUAAUAUAUGUGUUCAGACAAUUGAAGUAAUUAUCAUAAAACAACAAGGAAACUAUUGUUCUGCAUAAGUUUACUGUUAGGAAAUAAGAAAAACGACGAAAGGAAGAUAAUUCAUGUGCAGACCUGUGAGUCUGCAGUCUAUUUGCAGAAAUUUAGCACAAGAGUUUACAGAGAAUUUGCCACUUUUCUAGCACUUAUUGUUAUUGUUAUUAUUAUAACUUGUCCUAACAAUUUGACAAUUUAAACUCUUCUAUUAUUCACAUUAUCAAUGAUAUAUCUUAAAGAAAGUCUAGACAUGUCUACACAAUACAGCAUAGAAUGCUUAACGCUAAAAGCGAUAUUUUCAGCUAAAUCUAACUAGAAAUGACACUCAAGGAAAAUGCGCAGUAGGUUCCGAAACGGUGCCGUAAAUUCUUCCAUAAAACUCCACACUAGGUAACACUCGCUCUCAGCUCACCAGCUUGAAGCUUACUGCUGAUUGGCUGACGCCAAAGUCACGUUGUAUUCCUGAACAUCACUUGGAAAGUCGACUUGCCCUCUGUCUAUGGCGUUUUAAACGUAUGCAGGCAUGUAAUCGUGGUGUAAUUCUACAUGCUUACUUCCGGUCAUAUAUCCACGAACGUUAUUUACAUACAUACAAAUGUUUGUUGUGAGCACCGACAAACCCUCUUGCAUGUGCUUUUCUACAUUGAUUCGUACUAUUAAUAGCCAUAAGACUCUCAUACAUUUCGAUGAAAAUAAAUAUCCAUGGACUUUGAAUACCGCCGGACAAACGCGUUGUGUUUCUGUAACAUUCAUGUUAAAUACCAGACAGCAUGUAUUGCUGUGAAACAAUCACCUCUCCUCUACGGGGUCCAACAACCUGUUUGUUUUGAUCACAAAGUCAUGUGUUCAGUAAGACCAAUGGAAAGUCAUGUUACAUUUUCAUCCAAUCAGCAUGGCUCUCCCUUACCGCUUGGGCUCAGAUAAAGCACCAAGUGGCCCCCAUGGCGGUGGGCGUGGCGCUGGCUCUCCUAUAAAGUCCUGCGCGCACAGUCCGCUGCAUCAAUACCACCCCGAGUCGAGCAGAUUCUGAGCGUUUCGUUGUAAAGAGCCUUUGGGAAAACCUAAACCACCGCCAUGUCUGACGCUUAUUUCGACGAGUACGACCACUACAACUUCGACGAUAAGCUGGUCCAUUCAAGAGGAAGCGGCAAGAAUCGGUCCAAGGUAGAGGCCGAGCAGAACAAACAGACCGAUAACUGCGGUCACACUAGAAAGAUCGUCAAUAAUAUGAGAAACAAUGAAGCUAACAAUAGAGUGACGCAAGCAACGGCGAUAAAGCAUUAACUGAAAUUAACCAAUAUUUACGAAUCGUUGACGUCGAACCAAAGCAUAGUAGAGAAGACCAACGGACUUGAAUCGCCUUUAGGAUGUGUGGGACCAGAGUUGCUGCAAUGUCUGCAAGGCAAGGUUGACAAGGCAAUGGACUCCAGCCCAACUGGAAGCCGACGAGCAAACAUGUUCCAUGGGUGUACUUCACACGACUGCGAAGUUGACAAAGCUUCGCAAAACAUCCAUUGUUCAUCGCAUGUCACCAUCAAGCGACAGAUGCAGUGUCCCUUUGUUACAAUGUUAAAUCGGCAAGGAUUGAGCUUCCCAAUACAGGAUGCAUAUGCUGUGUGCGGGGCCCAGUCUUCCCGUGGGACAUUAUGCUUCGUGCGGGGACCUUGUCGGGAAUGACCUUUUCUCAUUUCAUUAUUAUUAUUUAUCUUUGCCUGGGGUUAGCUUUCACAGGAGUUUACCAUUUCUUAUAUUCAUUUCGUAUUUUCUAUUUAUAGUAGUCAGUUGCGGGACUUUCGAGUCUAGCAUGUUGUUCUUCUCAAGUGGUACAAAUAUACUAAGGCAUAUCUGGUAACCUUUAAUAAGUGCCCAUGUUGUGAUAAUAAAAGAUAAUUUUUUAU